rnacentral:lncRNA from 1 species
GAGUACAUGGAAUUGCACCGCUCAGGCGUGGAAAUGUUGUAGAAGUCAUGGGUGGUUUCCACCAUGGGAUUAACGUACCAUUUAGCUUCCUCCUCGGCCCACGCUUCAUCGCCCACUGAGAAACGAGUGGAUGCUUUUCCUUUACAAGGUGUGCUCUCAACGAACACUACGUCCUUAUUUACAAGAUUGUCUCGAGACAGCCGGCGAGCAUCAUCCUCACAACCUCUAAACUCAGAACCCACCACGCAGGGCGUCAUCAUUGCAACCUCUGUUGAGAUCCAAUCCUCCUUCAAGUCAAGACUCAAGUUUAUGUUGUCCCCAUUGAGGCUGCGCCGUACCGUCUGUAAUCCCCUCCGAGCAGGUGAUAUAGGACUACUUACCACCAAAUUCUCAGGUAACAGAAGUGGUUCAGGGUGAAUCUGGAGGGUAUCAGUGUGAUUUUGCUUGCAAAGCAGACUGAAUUGUUGCCGGAGUAAUAUAAGCUCGUUUUCCUGUGAGCACGAACCAAUCACAAUAUCUUCUUAGAUUGCAACAUUAAGAUGUAAAGGUCAAACAGAUGCUUGGCCUAGAAGCGAAUACAAUUUGAAGUGUCCAUAAGUCGAGUGACAGGUCCCAGAAACUUUGAAAAGAUGAUUGGAAGCAUUCGAAGAAAUUGAGAUAUAUUCAGAGAGAACGAACCCG